rfam:Stegodyphus mimosarum contig91480, whole genome shotgun sequence.
CAAAAGGCUCUUUUCAGAACCAUUAUUUUUUUUUUUUAAUUUUCU